GAACACUCCCAGCACAGAUGGGAAUUGAGAAACCUUUUUUACCGCACUGAGGAUUGGUAGCUAGACAAGGGAUACAGAAUGCAAAACACUUCAGCAGGGAGUGGUUGAGACAUCUGGUCACGAGUCAGUCCUCAGCGCUGGUCCAUGGACAAAUUGGAGUAGCAUCGGAUAUCCAGAAGAGGGCACUUGUGGCUCUCCAGUCUGUCUGCUCAACCCAAAACCCUGUCUGCACAACAAACUUCUUGGGACUGGGGGGGAAAAGGCUGGAGAGACUCUUAUCUUAAAUGAGCUGAAGUACUAAUAAGCAAUUAUGGGUUAUGCGUAGCAUCAGUUGGAAGAUUUGCUUGCAGGUUUCUGCUAUCAAUGGGCAUAUUUAUCACACCAGCUGCUAUCAAAAAAGAACACCACCAUUCAAGUGCUUUCAGAACUGCAGCUGAUGGCUGCAGAAAGCCACCCUUGCACCAAAAUGACUAAAAGCAUUUUCUGCUAAAAGUUUAGUCCAACCUAUUAUGUUAAUAAGUAUUUAGACAGUGACUCUGGGUGCUUGGGGGAAAGAAAAAUUCUAUUUCUUUAUUUGUUGUAGAGGAAAGAAAAAGAAUAAAAUGUUGAUGGAAUGUUGUACUUGAUGCAAUAUAAUUGAGAUCUCACAUGGAAAAUAAGCUACAAAAAAAUUUGACUGUUAAAGUUUUUAAACUCCAGCUAAUUAUGCCUUUGAAAACAAAGUAGGUGUUUGAGUGUGAUAGAUGGAGGUGGUGUUUAUUGAUCACUUAGCAUUGAAACCAUGACACCUAAGUUCUAGUAUCUGAACAGAGCAGUCAAAUUUGCUUUUGAAGAGUCAAAUCAAGAAGACUGAGACACUUUAACUUCUAUGCCUAAUGGAUGAGCCAUAAAAUAUGGUAACUUCUGAGAGAGAUUAUCAAUGUGUAUGAAGUUAGAGGAAAAAACCUAAUCUGAUCUUUUCCCUCAUAGAAGCACAUUUGGUAGUAGAACCAUUUUGAAAGUGCCUAUGUUGCAAAAAACCAUAGUAUUUAGUACACAAAAUUAAAUUAUUUGAAAAGUAAUUUCCAGUUAAAUAGUUUUCUUUUUUUUUUAAAUUAGGAAAGUUCCUAUGAAAAAUUAUAACUGAACUGAAUGAGACCCUGUGUUACUGUGCAAAAUCCUGACCGCCAAUAAACCCCUCUUCCAAGGGGUGCUGAAGCUUUAUAACCAUAUUUACCUCCACUGUUUUGCUGGAACUAACAGGACUGACUUCUUGUUUACAUAUCUUGUGUCAUGUGCAGCAUUCUGAAGGCUGGAGUUUAACAGUCUCCUGGGCUUCAGAAAAACAUUUUUUAAAACUACUUGUAAUGCCAAAAAUGUGUUUGUUUUACAUACAUACUUUGUUAAACUUUAGUGGAGUCGGUGUAGUGACAAAUCUUGAGAGGUAGAAAGCAAUCAUUCCAACCUGUAUUGACACCAUUUAGUUUCCAAUAAAUGAAUGUCUUUUACAA